CAAUAGCGUAUAUUAAAGUUGUUGCAGUUAAAAAGCUCGUAGUUGAAUUUCUGUCAGGAGCGACCGGGCCUUUGGAUGAACUUCCAUUGUUUUUGCUCUGUUUGUCGUCUCUAGACAUCCUAAAUUACAUUUCUUGUAAUUUUCUUUUACUGUUAGCAAAAUAGAGUGUUCCAAGCAAAGCGUAGUUUUGAAUACAUUAGGAUGGAAUAAUAAGAUAGGACUUUGGUGCUAUUUUGUUGGUUUGCACACCAAGGUAAUGAUUAAUAGGGACAGUUGGGGGUAUUCGUAUUUAAUUGUCAGAGGUGAAAUUCUUGGAUUUAUGAAAGACGAACUACUGCGAAAGCAUUUACCAAGGAUGUUUUCAUUA
rnacentral:rRNA from 1 species